rnacentral:rRNA from 1 species
GAUGAACGCUGGCGGCGUGCUUAACACAUGCAAGUCGAACGGAAAGGCUCCUGCUUGCAGGGGUACUCGAGUGGCGAACGGGAGAGUAACACGUGGGUGACCUGCCCUGCACUUCGGGAUAAGCCUGGGAAACUGGGUCUAAUACCGGAUAGGACGAUGGUUUGGAUGCCAUUGUGGAAAGUUUUUUCGGUGUGGGAUGAGCUCGCGGCCUAUCAGCUUGUUGGUGGGGUAAUGGCCUGCCAAGGCGCCGACGGGUAGCCGGCCUGAGAGGGUGUACGGCCACAUUGGGACUGAGAUACGGCCCAGACUCCUACGGGAGGCAGCAGUGGGGAAUAUUGCACAAUGGGCGCAAGCCUGAUGCAGCGACGCCGCGUGGGGGAUGACGGCCUUCGGGUUGUAAACUCCUUUCGCUAGGGACGAAGCGCAAGUGACGGUACCUGGAGAAGAAGCACCGGCUAACUACGUG